CACGCGGUAAACGAUGAUUACUGGCUGUUUGCGAUACACAGUAAGCGGCCCAGCGAAAGCGUUAAGUAAUCCACCUGGGGAGUACGUUCGCAAGAAUGAAACUCAAAGGAAUUGACGGGGGCCCGCACAAGCGGAGGAACAUGUGGUUUAAUUCGAUGAUACGCGAGGAACCUUACCCGGGCUUGAAAUGCGGUGGACUGGCAGAGAGAUCUGCCUUCCCUUCGGGGCCGCCGUGUAGGUGC
rnacentral:rRNA from 1 species